AGAGUUUGAUCAUGGCUCAGAACGAACGCUGGCGGCGUGGAUAAGACAUGCAAGUCGAGCGAAACAUUUCGGAUAGCAAUAUUCGGAAUGUUUAGCGGCGCAAGGGUGCGUAACACGUGGGCAAUCUGCCUUGAAGCCCGGAAUGACUCCGAGAAAUCGGAGCUAAUACCGGAUGUGAUAUUUGGAUGGCAUCAUCUAAACAUCAAAGUUGGGGACCGUAAGGCCUGAUACUUCAAGAUGAGCCCGCGACCUAUCAGCUAGUUGGCGGGGUAACGGCCCACCAAGGCUAAGACGGGUAGCUGGUCUGAGAGGACGACCAGCCACACUGGAACUGAGACACGGUCCAGACACCUACGGGUGGCAGCAGUCGAGAAUUUUUCACAAUGGGCGAAAGCCUGAUGGAGCGACGCCGCGUGGGGGAUGAAUGGCUUCGGCCCGUAAACCCCUGUCAUUUGUGAACAAACCUUCCGACUUAAUACGUCGGGAGCUGAUUGUAACGGAAGAGGAAGGGACGGCUAACUCUGUGCUAGCCGCCGCGGUAAUUC
rnacentral:rRNA from 1 species